UCAAAGUCUUCCGUGUAGGCGUAAUUUCAGUCCACAAAACCGGCUGCUGGAAAACUGUGGGCAGGCUUAUCUUCCAUCACACGGAUCCGUCGAGCCCCGGCAGGGAUUACGGCUGCUUCGAUAUAACCUAGAGCAAACAAAGAAGAACAGGUGGAUGGCAACAACAAUAAAAUUACCAGGAGAAACAGCUUGACACACCUUGAGGGGAAACGGAAGACACAGUGGCAGCUGGGAUCUUAAUAAAGACUGUGGAGGCCAGCC